rnacentral:rRNA from 1 species
UACGGAGGGUGCGAGCGUUGUUCGGAAUCACUGGGCGUAAAGCGCGUGUAGGCGGCCCAUUAAGUCUGAUGGGAAAGCCCGGGGCUCACCCCCGGAAGUGCAUUGGAAACUGAUGGACUCGAGUCCCGGAGAGGAGAGUGGAAUUCCUGGUGUAGCGGUGAAAUGCGCAGAUAUCAGGAGGAACACCAAUGGCGAAGGCAGCUCGCUGGGACGGUACUGACGCUGAGGAGCGAAAGCUAGGGGAGCAAACGGG